GCUGCGGUGGCUGACCACCGGCACCUGGCAUCUUAACAACUUCCUUUUGUCAACCCCUUAAGUAUUAUCUCUUCUAUACAACUUUGAAGUUCUGAUCAAUGGAAGGGGACAACAGUAACAAAAUGUGUGUGUAUGUAUGUAUGUGUGUGUGUAACACUUUUUUUAGGAUCACUGAA